rnacentral:lncRNA from 1 species
UUGCAGAGAAAAGCAAGCCAUACAGACAAACAAAGCCUAGCUCCCAGCAAGCAGUGGAGACUAUGGAAAUAGCUUACUGAAAGAGGAUGAGGUAUUAUAAAAAUUGUCAGAUGGACCACCAAAGUGCUUCGGCACAGAAAGUAGGCAAUAAGGGUCCUUUGUGAGGCUUGAAAUCCCAUCACGCAUCAUCAUCACAAAGCUAUUGUCGAAGGAAUACCAUGAGAAAACUGGUUAUGAUCUAACAAUUAAUUUGGGUAAGUAGAAGGGUGUGGAAGUACUCAGAAUUAUAAUUGCCACUGUCAUGAAUUUCCACUCUAUUAAUUCAAGGAGGUAACAAUCUAUUUUUUAUCCAGCACACCUGAGG